GAUUCAUCAAACAAAAAGUGGAAGGACCCUGAACAAAAAUAAGUAAAUUAUAUAAAUACUUUCGGUAUUAACUUUAUUUGUUACCAUUGUAUGCGACCUUUAAAAACAGUUGUAGAAUAUGUGCGUCGCUUGGUGAAUAACAAUGCAUUGGUAGUGCCUUUGUCAGAAUACGAUCCAACAACACCAAGAAAAUUGUCGUAUGGGCGCUUUAUUUAAAGAAUACCUUCGAGAUGCUUGUAUGGGUGCUUUUCACACAGAUAACGCACACCAAUGCAUUGAAUGAAGUGGGUGUAAACAAAUUCACAUUACUUUUUUCAACAUUUUCGAUACUUUCUGAAAAAGUUAUCCGCCGGGAACUGGUACAAUAAUAUUAAUUGUUCGCUUAAUGGACAUGAAUAAACAAAGUUACAACAAAAUAUUGUUUGGAGUCUUUGAACAACAAAUGUAACAACAUUUUGUACAGCAUUUGCGGACGAGCAAUUAACUACUGUAAGUGUAAUGGUCCCAUUGCUUAGCAUAUUUUCAAGGAUUUGAAUUUAGUUCACCAACACCGAUGCUUCGAGGAAAUUAAUGUGUAUGAAUGGCACAAAUAGUCAGGCCAUUUCGACGAGUCCGUCGGCGAAAAAAGUGGUACGGUGAGCCAAAAUUAACCGGCGCGAUACUAAACACAACCCAAUACAAAAAAUUAUUAAAGUGUAAGCUCUGCCACACAGUUGCGUCGAAUACAUAAAAAGCCACAUUUAUAUCAAAAUGUGCACACAGCUGGCAAAUCAACACGAAGUUUCGCUCUCCCCGGACGCGUGCUAAAUCGUAUAAACAAUAUGGCUUGAUUUCUAUAUGGCAGCCAUCGAUUGCAACA